rnacentral:rRNA from 1 species
CAGUCGCCGCGGUAAUACGGAGGGUGCAAGCGUUAAUCGGAAUUACUGGGCGUAAAGCGCACGCAGGCGGUUUGUUAAGUCAGAUGUGAAAUCCCCGAGCUUAACUUGGGAACUGCAUUUGAAACUGGCAAGCUAGAGUCUUGUAGAGGGGGGUAGAAUUCCAGGUGUAGCGGUGAAAUGCGUAGAGAUCUGGAGGAAUACCGGUGGCGAAGGCGGCCCCCUGGACAAAGACUGACGCUCAGGUGCGAAAGCGUGGGGAGCAAACAGGAUUAGAGACCCCGGUAGUCCCUGUCUCUUAUAC